rnacentral:lncRNA from 1 species
UUAAUUAAAUUUGAGUUUUUUAUCACUAUUUUUUAUAAGAAUUUUAUUUUUAGCCGUCUAUUUUGAGGCUAUUCGUUCACUAGGCAAAUUAAGUCAAAAAAUUAUGAAAUUUGGUUUCUAAAUAAUUCUAAUAGCAUAGAUCUUGUCUAUUAAAAUCAAUUGCCGAAUCGAAUAUCCCAUCAUCGAGAAUAACUUACCAGCACGGAGGUUUCCAUACUUUCAAAAGCAUAGAAAUCUAGCGCACUCUCUUUCUCUCUCUCUCUCUCUAUAUAUAUGUUUAUGAGUUGGGUUAGAAUACUAUUAAUAGUAUUUGUCCUUUUUUUGCUAUCAAGGUUUUAGUAUUUGGAUCAAUUCCUUUGAUCAUUUUUAAUUAUUGAAUUAAAUAUUAUAACCUAGUAGGGACUACUCAAUCCUAGGGAUCACUCAACUUGAUAGCAAAAUAUGCCAAAUACUAUCAAUAGUAUUCCAGCCCAACUCUAUGGGCUUGUUUGGUUCACUUCUUUUUUACCCUAGAAUCAGAAUCGGAAUGGACGAAUCUUUUUGUGGGCGUUUGAUAUGCGGGAGUCCCAUUCCGAUUCUGAUUCCUGAGUGGAAUGGGAAUCCCCCAAUCAUCUCUUUUUCCAAUCCCGCCUAGGAGGCCGGAUUGAAAGUUGAAUCCGAACGGAAUAGAUAUUCAUUCGGCUUAAAUUUAUUUUUUCAACUUUUUUUUAAUUAAAAUAUGAGUUUAAAUCUAGAAAUUAAAUUUAUAAUUUAUAAUUUUAAUUUGAAAUUGAAUUAAAAAUUAAAAUUUAAUCAAGUAUUUCGAAUCUAACUUAUGAAUUUGAAUUUAAAUUUAAAUUUAAUUUAUAUAAAGUUUUAUUCAAAUUUUAUUUAAAAUUUAAAUUAAAUUUAUGGAUUCAAAUUAAAAUUUAAAUUGUAAGUUUAAGUUUGAAUUUGAAUAUAUCAAAAUUUAGUUUUAUAUUUUGAAUUAUCCACUCAACUUCAAAAUUUAAUUUUCAAAAAAAAGAUUUAAAAUUUUGACAUUAUUUCAAAAUUUUGAUGUAAAUAUUUAAUUUUAAAUUUAAAUUUAAAUUAAUAUAUUAUAAAAAUAAAGUUAGUAUAUUAAUUUGAUUACGUUCUUUAUAUCUACCUGAACUAAACACCGAUAAUAAGAAUAAUUUAUUUUGAUUCCGAUUUAGGUGGCGAGUCAAACAGAAUUAAAUAAUAAAUUAUUUUGAUUUCAAUCGACUUCAAUUUCAACUUAUUUCGAUUACGG